AUAUUAUUAUAUAGUAUGCAUGUGUUGUCUUUUCAGGUGUGUUCUAACAAGUUGGCGCGGUAUAGUCACAAUUGGGUAUUUCGAGCCAAAUCGGGUUCGGGCCAGAAAUGCAAUUUGAAUUGAAAUAUUUGGCAUUUUAUUUGACAAUGGAUAAUCUGAAUUCUAUUUGAAAAUUAAUGAGCAUGAAAUGACUAAAUUACCCUUGUAUGUGUGAAUAUGUGUGCAUUGGCCCUAGGGGCAUUUUGGUCUUUUGACCUUUAUUGAUAUACUUUGAUAAAAAUUGAAUUUCAAGGAAAAUGAAAAGAAAAUUCUGGUUUGCUUCCCCUCUCACCCGACCCCUCUCUCUCUCUCUCUCUCUCUCUCUCUCUCUCUCUCUCUCUCUCUCUCUCUCUCUCUCUCUCUCUCUCUCUCUCUCUCUCUCUCUCUCUCUCUCUCUCUCUCUCUCAAACCCUCUUUGAUUUCUCAAAAUUUGUUUGGUGAAAUUGCUUGAGUUUGGAUUGAAUUGAAGCUUGGUUUUGGAGAAAUUAUUGUUCUUGCCUUUGGUGUGAUUUUGAGGAUUACCGGCAUCUGGUCAGGAGCACCCAGAGAUUUGGAAUCUCUGCGUUUGCGGGACAACAUGUAAGACAGUAGUUAGCACGUAGAGUAUGCGCGGUGGCACUUAUAUUGAAAAUGAUAUAUGUGAGUAUAUAGGAACCGAGAUUAGGGUUAUUACCCUAAUAUGAUCGGUUUAUUAGCCUAGGGUUAUUAUCCUAGUGAUAUAUGUGUGCAAAUACCAUGCCAUGUUAAAUGUAAUGAUAUUUAAGGAUUAUGCGCUCAAGGCAUAAUCAGGUUAGACUCGGUAACCAUAAUCGAGAUGAAUCAUUCUAAAGCCUUAAUGUUAAUAGACGUGUGAGAGCAACACGUAAGUCUAUGCCACAUAGACAUAAAUAGACGUGUGAGAGCACACGUAGGUCUACGCCACGUAAACAUAAAUAGAAUCAAAAUAUUGUGACCUAUGAUAAGUCUUCUGAAUCAGAUUGUUUCUAUUAUUUAGAGUAUUUUCAUUCCCGUUUAUUUAUUUUUUUUUUUUGAGAUUAUGCGAAAUAGAAAAGAAAAAAGUAAUUUCAUUGACAUUGAAGGUUAAUAUAAGUAAGGUGUAUGAGAAAGUUGUUGAAUAAAAUUUUAUUAUGA